GGCGUAGGUGGCUUAUCAAGUCGGAUGUGAAAUCUCCCGGCUUAACUGGGAGGGUGCAUCCGAAACUGAUGGGCUAGAGUGCACCAGAGGGAGAUGGAAUUCCCGGUGUAGUGGUGAAAUACGUAGAUAUCGGGAAGAACACUAGUGGCGAAAGCGGUCUCCUGGGAUGUAACUGACACUGAGGCCCGAAGGCGUGGGUAGCAAACAGGAUUAGAUACCCUGGUAGUCCACGCAGUAAACGAUGGAUACUAGGUAUGGGGAGUAUCGACCCUUUCCGUGCCGAAGCUAACGCUUUAAGUAUCCCGCCUGGGGAGUACGGUCGCAAGACUAAA
rnacentral:rRNA from 1 species